rnacentral:rRNA from 1 species
CCAGCGAACUUGGCAGAGAUGCCUUGGUGCCUUCGGGAACGCUGAGACAGGUGCUGCAUGGCUGUCGUCAGCUCGUGUUGUGAAAUGUUGGGUUAAGUCCCGCAACGAGCGCAACCCUUAUCCUUUGUUGCCAGCGAUUCGGUCGGGAACUCAAAGGAGACUGCCGAUGAUAAACCGGAGGAAGGUGGGGAUGACGUCAAGUCAUCAUGGCCCUUACGAGUAGGGCUACACACGUGCUACAAUGGCGCAUACAAAGAGAAGCGACCUCGCGAGAGCAAGCGGACCUCAUAAAGUGCGUCGUAGUCCGGAUCGGAGUCUGCAACUCGACUCCGUGAAGUCGGAAUCGCUAGUAAUCGUGGAUCAGAAUGCCACGGUGAAUACGUUCCCGGGCCUUGUACACACCGCCCGUCACACCAUGGGAGUGGGUUGCAAAAGAAGUAGGUAGCUUAACCUUCGGGAGGGCGCUUACCACUUUGUGAUUCAUGACUGGGGUGAAGUCGUAACAAGGUAGGCGUAGCGAG